rnacentral:lncRNA from 1 species
AUGCUGCAUUUCACUUUUGUCCACUUUGCAGGCAGAUUAAGGAAACAUCACCUCCAGGGUUUCCUGUGUGCCUUUCUAGUUCCUACCUGUGGCUCCCAUGGGUCUCCAAGGAGCUGCUCCACUUCAGCAGCUCCAGGUUUCUGUUUGAAGGAUUUCAUUUGGGGGAUCAACUUCAAAAUCUAUUUCUUCUUUGGAAUGUACUCAUAGUACUGGAAAAUGUUUGACCCUCACAUGUUGAAAAAGAGCCAUUUAAUAUUUUUCUGAACCUGUGCAUGGCCUACCUGCCCCCUGGAGCCAAAAUAGAACGCAGCGGUAAGUAUUGAUUAUACUCUUUUACAACUAGAAUCAUACUGUAAGAAAGCGGGAGAAAUGGUCAGACUUACCUUAUGUUCAGACUUUCUUUACAUUAAGAAAUAAUGCAUAUUUGCAUUCAGCAUGUAAUUAUGAGCCAUAUCUGUGUUCAAAUGUUAUUCUCUCCUCUGUGACUGCUAGAUAUCAGGACCAAGUUUCUAGAAUGAUUAAUUUCCCUUCCGUGGGAUCCUUCCAAAGUGAAACUGAUCUCCACUUAUCUCUGAUUAUCUCUGGCCAUAUUAAAAAAACUUGUCUUGAUUUAAUUCUAAAACGUUCAAAGAAUAAAUAUAAAACCUUUCUUCAAGUUUAUCUGCCUUUCAGUCCUUAGGCAGAAUUUCAGAUUAAUUCUUCUUACUUCCUUCUCCCCUCAAGAAUGAUGCUGACCAGUUUUUAUAGCACAGGAUUCACUGACUAAUUUUUACAACAGAUAAGUUCAUCGAUUGAACAAAAGAUUCCUUGGAAACUUUAUUAGUUGAGUAACAGUUUUAAACAAACCUGAUAUUAAAGAACAGGAAUAGCCCCUGUCUCCAGAGAACUGCCUCUCAUCAUUAUUUCUCUCUAGAACAUCUUGUCAGGCCAGUCACUAUUCUCAGAGAUAUGCUAACUGAGGCUCUAAAAAAGGAAGGCCUAUACCUAAGUGUAGUCCAAACAUCACAGGCAAAAUAGAAAAUAACUGUCUGCAUAGGUAGACAUCUGCAGCAGGAUAGAUUGGAGCCUUUGCAGGCCUUCUAACCCCACUGUUUGGAAUAUAUACUUAGGUUCAAAGAGUGCCACAUACAUCUGAACUUAGCCUAUGCACCAUACUUGGAAAUGGUUAAAAAUUACUUUUUCACAGUCUUCUGCUCUAGAGAGAGCAGUUACAUGUGGCUAUCAAAACAGCACUUUUGGCUAUCAGAUAUUACUGUCCAACAACUAUGGCCAUCAAAGCAAUAACUAGAAGCCUGUAUAGCUAGAUAUUCCAAUCAGAUAAACUGUUAUCUUAGGACCCAUCUUAAAAACUGUCUUUGCUUUCAGAGGUGUAUUUGUUCUGAUUCGUAUUACAGGAGAUCUUUUUCAAUUGACC